rnacentral:rRNA from 1 species
UACGUAGGUGGCAAGCGUUGUCCGGAUUUAUUGGGUUUAAAGGGUGCGUAGGCGGUUUUAUAAGUCAGUGGUGAAAUACGGCAGCUCAACUGUCGAGGUGCCAUUGAUACUGUAGAACUUGAGUACAGACGAGGUAGGCGGAAUUGACGGUGUAGCGGUGAAAUGCUUAGAUAUCGUCAAGAACACCGAUAGCGAAGGCAGCUUACUAGACUGUAACUGACGCUGAGGCACGAAAGUGUGGGGAUCAAACAGG